rnacentral:rRNA from 1 species
AUGGGUCAUCGCCGAUGGCUACCACAGAAUCAUGUAUUUCGGAGACGAAAGAAGGAGUUUGAUAACACCGAAGAGAUGGAACUUGCACCUAUAACAAUGAGUGGUAGCUCAGCUUUGAGGAUGUUGCAGGGCAGAGUGUUUGUCUUAGGAAAAAAGGUUGUUGUGGCAAAGAAAGGGAAAGGGAAAAAGAAGGGCAAAGACAGUGAAAAAGGAACUGAAGGUCCUGAAAAACAGAAGCGUAAAAGAGCGCCUAACAAGAAAUCAGGUAACGUCGCACGUAAACCUGAAAAGAAGCCUGAGGAUUGUUUCAAAAAGAAGUCGAUAUUCUUUGAUUUGGAAUACUGGGAGCACAACAAGUUAAGGCACAAUCUAGAUGUCAUGCAUAUUGAGAAAAAUGUCUUUGAAAAUUUAAUUGGAACCUUACUGGAUAUUGAUUCUAAAACAAAGGAUGGCCUUAAUGCACGACUUGACUUGGGAGAAAUUGGAAUUCGAUCUAGCCUUCAACCUCAUGAAGGUGAUAAGGGUAAAACUGAAUUGCCGCAUGCACCUUUUAAUAUGUAUAAAGAAAAGAAGGAGAUUCUUUGUACAGUGAUUAAGAAUUGUAGGACACCUGAUGGUUGUGCAUCAAACUUUUCAAGGUGUGUGAACAUGAAAGAAUUGACAUUGACUGGCCUCAAAAGCCACGACUGCCAUGUUAUUCUACAAGACAUCCUUCCUGUGGCACUUUUACACUGUUAUCCCAGUAAAGAUGUCAUGAUAUUAGUUGUUGAGCUGGCUAAUUUCUUCAAGAAACUAUGCUCCAAAGUGUUAGAUUUCUCUGAGCUUGACAAACUGCAAGAGAGUAUUGUGAAGACACUUUGUAAUAUGGAAAAGGUUUUUCUUCCAUCGUUUUUUACUGUCAUGGUACAUUUAAUGGUGCAUUUAGUUGAAGAAGCUAAACUUGGUGGCCCGGUGCAUUACAGGUGGAUGUACCCUCUAGAGAGAUCAUUUGUUUGGCUAAAGUCACUUGUGCGCAAUAGAGCUUAUCCUGAAGGUUCUAUUGCUGAAGGAUAUACUGUUGAAGAAUGCUUGACCUUUUGUUCAAGAUUUCUAGAAGGAACCACACGUUUCACAAGAACAUCUAGGAACCCUGAUCCUUCAGAUAAUACAAAGGGCAUGUACAUGUUUGAUAGUGUUGGUGAGCCAAUUGGAAAGGCUGUCACUAUAGGCCAAUUGGACGAUCAGCUUCUAGUUCAAGCACAUCGAUGUGUCUUGCGACAC